UUUAAUAACGUUUAGCUCAGGAGUUAUUGAUCAGGUAAGUUCGAAUCUAUGAAUAUGUUGCCAACUUGACCGAACUUCGACGCAUAGUGCAAUAUUUUUAAUCAGUUUUUAUAUACAUAAUCGUAGGCGUCGUCUAAAAGCUCUAAAAUGCUAUUUUCCGAGUCGAGGUUGGAUGAAAGUUCUUAAUUCAGAAACAGAUUAAUUAGGACCAGCGCUUAAAGUGACCCAACCCCUCCCAGCGCGAUUUGAACGUUAGUAACUUUAUGUUCGUCGGCACUUUUUCCCUCUUCAAGCACUGGUUAUUACGCCUGUAUAAUGAAAUUCGCUUAACUAACAUCAGUUGGACUGCACGUUUUACUUUCAGAUAUAAUCACACUGAUGAUCUGAACUAUCCGAGAGAGGACCAGAUGUUCCAUGAAGUGGAUCAGACAACCUUGCCCUCUGAAGUAGACUGUGCCAAACUUCCAAGUACACCCUGCAUAAUUGUGUGUGGAAGUUCCCCUUUGACUGCAGAGAACUUUAUGUUUUCUGUCAACCAAGUCAUAGUUAACAGCCACAUCACCAUCUUCUGCGA